rnacentral:rRNA from 1 species
GAUGAACGCUAGCUACAGGCUUAACACAUGCAAGUCGAGGGGUAACAAGAGGAAAGCUUGCUUUUCUUGUUGACGACCGGCGCACGGGUGAGUAACGCGUGUCCAACCUGCCUAUAACUAGGGAAUAACCUUGUGAAAGUAAGACUAAUACCCUAUGAUUUCCUUUGUUGACAUCAAAUUAGGUACAAAGAUUUAUCGGUUAUAGAUAGGGAUGCGUCUGAUUAGCUUGUUGGCGGGGUAACGGCCCACCAAGGCAACGAUCAGUAGGGGUUCUGAGAGGAAGGUCCCCCACAUUGGAACUGAGACACGGUCCAAACUCCUACGGGAGGCAGCAGUGAGGAAUAUUGGUCAAUGGGCGGAAGCCUGAACCAGCCAAGUAGCGUGCAGGAUGACGGCCCUAUGGGUUGUAAACUGCUUUUAUACAGGAAUAAAGUUAGCCACGUGUGGUUAUUUGUAGGUACUGUAUGAAUAAGGACCGGCUAAUUCCGUGCCAGCCGCCGCAGUAA